GACGAACGCUGGCGGCGUGCUUAACACAUGCAAGUCGAACGGAAAGGCCCUGCUUUUGUGGGGUGCUCGAGUGGCGAACGGGUGAGUAACACGUGAGUAACCUGCCCUUGACUUUGGGAUAACUUCAGGAAACUGGGGCUAAUACCGGAUAGGAGCUCCUGCUGCAUGGUGGGGGUUGGAAAGUUUCGGCGGUGGGGGAUGGACUCGCGGCUUAUCAGCUUGUUGGUGGGGUAGUGGCUUACCAGGGCUUUGACGGGUAGCCGGCCUGAGGGUGACCGGCCACAUUGGGACUGAGAUACGGCCCAGACUCCUACGGGAGGCAGCAGUGGGGAAUAUUGCACAAUGGGCGGAAGCCUGAUGCAGCAACGCCGCGUGCGGGAUGACGGCCUUCGGGUUGUAAACCGCUUUCGCCUGUGACAAAGCGUGAGUGACGGUAAUGGGUAAAGAAGCACCGGCUAACUACGUG
rnacentral:rRNA from 1 species